UAACAACUUUAAGCUUAUACAUUAACUUUACUUAACAACUUAAUUAUUGAUGAAUUGGUUUAGAGAUUUUUAUAGCAAUGCAAGAUUGAGCUUAGUAGAAGACUAAAUUUCUGCUCUGGAGACAAAAAGAGGAAGACAGCAAUCUUAGUGUAGAUGAUUCUUCAAAUUAUUUUAGUGACGAUUCAUCUUCAGUUUCAUAUAAUAAAACUAAAAAUAUUAUUAAACUUUGGGAUUUACCUGUAACUCCAAACUCUUUGCAGAAGUUCAAUGUUUACUUUGAGAAGUUGAAUGAACACAAUUUAAUAAACGAUAGUCAUGGAAAAAUCUGGGAAUUCUGAUUGUGUAAUCUGUAUCUGAAACGUUAACAAGAAUUGUUUUGUGACAGUGCCAGAAAGUGAAUGCACACCAGGAGAUUCAAUAAAUCAUAAAAAUAUUAUGAAUCCAUUAGCAAGAAAAGUUGUAUCUCCUAAAGAUAUGCAGUUAAUAUUGGCACGAUGGGUAAGCAUUGAAGUGCAACUUGGUGAACUACAAAACACAUCAAAUUUAAUUAUAUAAAAAUUUGAGUAACAAAGAUAUGUUAAUUAAUGAUUUGCCUGAAAGAGUAUCACUUUACCAUUAAGAGCAGUGGAGAAUUUAAGUACUCUAAAAGAAAAAAGACAAAAAAAUACUUAAGCAAAUAGUAAAUAUUUUUUUAUG